AUUGAACGCUGGCGGCAGGCUUAACACGUGCAAGUCGAGCGGGGUGAUGGUGCUUGCACUAUCACUUAGCGGCGGACGGGUGAGUAAUGCUUAGGAAUCUGCCUAUUAGUGGGGGACAACAUCUCCAAAGGGAUGCUAAUACAGCCUACGUCCUACGGGAGAAAGCAGGGGAUCACUUGUGACCUUGCACUAAUAGAUGAGCUUAAGCCGGAUUAGGUAGUUGGUGGGGUAAAGGCCUACCAAGGCGACGAUCUGAUGCGGGUCUGAGAGGAUGAUCCGCCACACUGGGACGGAGACACGGCCCAGACUCCUACGGGAGGCAGUAGUGGGGAAUAUUGGACUAUGGGGGGAACCCUGAUCCAGCCAUGCCGCGUGUGUGAAGAAGGCCUUAUGGUUGUAAAGCACUUUAAGCGAGGAGGAGGCUCUUUUGGUUAAUACCCAAGAUGAGUGGACGUUACUCGCAGAAUAAGCACCGGCUAACUCUGUGCCAGCAGCCGCAGUAA
rnacentral:rRNA from 1 species